rfam:Parcubacteria group bacterium CG1_02_40_82 cg1_0.2_scaffold_1554_c, whole genome shotgun sequence.
UACAAUGAGAGUUUGAUUCUAGCUCAGGAUGAACGCUGGCGGCGUGGAUAAGGCAUGCAAGUCAAACGGUCGUGCCUCACUAUCGUUCAGCACUCCCUAAAUUAAAAGUUCAAAAAUCAAAAUGCAAAAUUACAAUUUAAAAUUAAAAAUUUUGAAUUUUGCAUUGUAAUUUUGAUUUUUAAAUUUUGAUUUUUGAUUUUGAGUGCCGAGCAGUAGCGAGGCACGAUAGUGGCAAACGGGUUAGUAACGCGUAGGUAACUUACCCUGAAGUCUUGGAUAACUCCGCGAAAGCGGAGCUAAUACAAGAUGGAAAUGAGGGGACAUAUGUCAUUCUCAUUUAAAGAUGCGUAGUAAUACGCGAUGCUUCAGGAGAGGCCUGCGUCCUAUCAGCUAGUUGGUGAGGUAACGGCCCACCAAGGCGAUGACGGGUAGGGGGACUGAGAGGUCGGCCCCCAACAUCGGAACUGAGACACUGUCCGGACUCCUACGGGAGGCUGCAGUCAAGAACCUUCGACAAUGGGCGAAAGCCUGAUCGAGCGACGCCGCGUGAAUGAAGAAGCCCUUCGGGGUGUAAAAUUCUUUUAUAGGGGAGCAAUUUUGAGUGUACCCUAUGAAUAAGGGGUUCCUAAACUCGUGCCAGCAGGAGCGGUAAUACGAGUACCCCAAGCGUUAUCCGGAAUUACUGGGCGUAAAGCGUCUGUAGGGGGUUUUGAUAGUCCUUAUGUUAAAUGUUAAGGCUCAACCUUAACGCUGCUUGGGAAACGUCAAAACUAGAGAGUGCGAGAGGCUGAUGGAACCUACGGUGUAGGGGUGAAAUCCGUUGAUAUCGUAGGGAACACCAAAAGCGAAGGCAUUCAGCUGGUGCAUCUCUGACCCUGAGAGACGAAAGCGUGGGGAGCAAAAAGGAUUAGUGUCAUUGCUUCGCAAUGGAAUUUCUAAAUCUUAAUUUCUAAUUUCUAAAUAAAUCUCAAAUUUGUUUAGGAUUUAGGGUUUUGAAUUUAAGAUUUCCACUGCGAAGUGAUGGCCCGCCAGGGUAUGGCGGAAAUAGUCCCUCGUCGAUGAGACGAGAAAAAACUUGGCUAUAUGCUGGAAAAUCCGUAGCGAGUGUCGUAAGACACGAGCGAAGCCCAGCACCGAAUUUAUUCUGGUGCUGUGGCGGAAAGUAUCCGGCACUACCACUUUAAAGAAAGGAGGUAAAAAUGAUAGCAAGAAUGAUAAGAUUCGAUGGAAAAUCUGUCGCUACCUUUCUUAAUGGCGAGCCAAACUCGCUGAAAAUGAGAGAGAGGCGAGAUAUUUUUUUGGAAGAAGAUCAAUUUCCAAAAGAAAAGAGGGCCGAGAAAGUAUGGAAGUUAGCGGAGAAAUGGCAGCAAGAAGUAAAAGCAGAAGAUUCAGAUGAUGUAGUGAUUUUUUUGGAAUUUGUUGGAAAUUAAGUGGUAAAAAAGUGUCCGGUGCGGACAACCAGCAGGGAAGUCGUCGUAGAGGCGACCCCUCAGAGACUAUACGCUGAGGGCAAUUCGUUAAAAAAUUGAAUUUAGUUGCGCGAAAUUUGGUCAGACCAAAUUUCGCGCAACAUCUGAUUUUAGCGAAGUGCUAUGAUAUAGUCCGAACCUUGCAGCGAUGCAAGGAGCGCAGUAGAAAUAUCUGCGCCAUGCAAUAAUUUUGAAUUUUGAAUUGUCAUUUUGAUUUUUGCAUUUUGACUUUUGAAUUUCAAUUUUGUUGCAGAGCAACAAAAUUGUAGAUACCCUUGUAGUCCACGCCCUAAACUAUGCAAACUAGCCAUUUGAAGUAUCGACCCUUCAGGUGGCGAAGCUAACGCGUUAAGUUUGCCGCCUGGGAAGUACGGCCGCAAGGCUAAAACUCAAAGAAAUAGACGGGGACUUGCACAAGCGGUGGAGCAUGUGGUUCAAUUCGACGACAAGCGAGGAACCUUACCAGGUCUAGACACCCAUCUGAAGUCUGUUGGAAACAGCCGACGUCUCACAAGGACAGAUGGGCCAGGUAUUGCACGGUUGUCGUCAGCUCGUGGCGUGAGCUGUUCUCUUAAGUGAGGAAACGAGCGCAACCCCUAUGCUGCGUUACAAGUGUCGCAGCAGACUGCCUCAGACAAUGGGGAGGAAGGUGGGGACGACGUCAAAUCAGCGUGAUCCUUUGAUGACCUGGGCUACACACGUGCUACAAUGGCCGGUACAAAGGGAAGCGAAGCCGCAAGGCGGAGCUAAUCCCAUCAAAGCCGGCCCCAGUUCGGAUUGAGGUCUGCAACCCGACCUCAUGAAGCCGGAAUCGCUAGUAAUCGCGCAUCAGCCAUGGCGCGGUGAAUACGUUCUCAAGUCUUGUACUCGGGUCGCUGUGCGAUUGCACAAAUU